ACAAAGAAACAGCCUAAACUCAUCUUAGGUUUCAGCUCCACCAGACUUUCUCCUUGCUCUUUAGCUUCCUCACAGCCCAAAACACCAAAUCCACCAACUUCUCCUUCAAAUCCGCUUCAUACGGUUUUGAGAGAGAGAGAAAAGAAAGAGAUAAGAAGAAGGGAGAGGAGAGGGUUCCCUGGUACGCAGGGAAGGCUGGUGGAGGGCUGGGCUUAUAGAUAAGAUCUAAACAAUUGCAUAUAAACCCCUCACUAUUGCUGUUCCAAAUUCAGAAUCUGAUACUUUUCGCCGGAGCCCUUCUGAAUGUCCGUUUAUGCUCAAAUUUGACAGCCAGGCUCGAUUAAAAUUAAUAAGAAGAACGAAAUCUUAACUUUUCAGUUUUGAACCAUUUUUUGUCACUGAAAACUCUAUCGACUAAAAUCUCUAGUAGAUAGCAAUUAGAUUUUGUUUUUCACUUUCCGAGUGUCAGAAUGACAUGAAACUUUAAAUCUAGCCUCAGAAAAAUAAUUCCGACAUAUUCUCAAAUUUUCAUAAUUUUCUGACACUGUGAAUUUUUUGCUAAAAAAUCAGCUCCGUUCCUUACAGAAAAUUCUAAAUCUUCUGUUUUCAUUCCAAUUUCGGCACAAGUCAUUUUUGACUUAUAUUUUAUUUCUUUAAGUUCAAUAAAAAUAGUAUCUUACACUAUUUUCAUUUAUACCUACUUUUAUAUUAAAAAUCCGGUAUAUUACAAAUCAG
rnacentral:lncRNA from 1 species